CGGUUAUAAAUGCACACACUAAUUUUAGUCCUUGUUCCUUUCCCAUUGUAAAUACAUAUGUAUGCACCACAAAUUUAACCCGAUAGAAAAUUUACACCAUCGCCAGAUCAACUUAACCCACUCCAGAGGUUACAUGAAACAUCAAAAAAUAGCCAACACCAAAAAUAAGUUGCUUCUCUUCUAAUUAUCGAAAGAAAUUAAAUCAUUUGCAUUUAACUAUUUACUAGUUUCGAAUAAUCUUGAUAUAAAACCUACGGACUAUAGGUUAUAUACGGUUUUCUUCCCUACCACCCCUCUUAAGAAAUGGAUGAAAAAAUCGAAAUUGCUUUAUACGUGGGAGGUAUUAUCCUUAUCGUGGCAGUCUUGAUCUGGAUAAGGGAAAUUAUCAGACAGUGUGUUAAGAAGUCCUUAAACUGUCUUUGUGCCUGUCUCUUUCCUGGUUGCUGUGGUGACGAUGACGAUGAUGACAAAGUCUAACCACGGGGAGAGAACAACUUCUAACCAGGAUAUCGUUGAAAAUGAAAAUUGUAAUAUAAGUAAAAAUAAAAAUUUGAUAUUCUUCGUAUUUAUUUGGUCGUACGUAGUAUAAUCAUAAAAUUGUGCUUGAUUCAUGAAAAAAUUAUAAUGACCCAAAUAUUGGCAUUGUGGAUAAAAACGAAACCGUUCAUUGGUCGAAAUAAUAUGGUAUUCUCAUAAUACACAUGGCAGACGUGUUUCUCACAUUAAAAAUAGCCCCAAAAAUUAAGGAAUAAAUGUAGAUCAUUGCUUUAAGAUCUCA